GGCUUAGGACCGUAUUCAUGGAAGAGGAUCGAACAGAGAUGAAGUAGACAGUAUGUCGGAUAAAUCUGAAGACAUGAAAUAGGCAGUAUGUUGGAUAAAUCUGGAGGUCUCUGCUAAGAAAAACUGAGAACUUCACUGUAAGUGCAAGAGUUUGAACAGACUGGCUCCUAGCAGAAAUCAGGAAGGCCAAGGAAAUGGAGACCCUAUGACAUUUAUAAGACGCUUCACAUAAAGAGAAAAUGGAUGGAAACUUAUGUCAAAGAACCUUUCAAAGGCAGGAACCAGAAAUUAGAAAGAUUUUGCAAAAUGAACGAACGAGAGAGGAAGAACAUCAACAACAAAUUUUGUGAGCAGUAUAUAACUACAUUUCAGAAGUCUUAUAUGGAUGUACAGAAAUUCAAUGAGGAAAAAGAAAAAUCAGUGAAUAGUUGUCAAAAAGAACAACAAGCAUUGAAACUGUCCAAAUGUAGUCAGAACCAGACCCUGGAAGCAGGUAAAGAAAUGCAUGAGAAGUCCAUGGAGCUGCAUCAUUGGACUCAAACUGAAUGGUCCAUGUGUUGCCACUGAUGUGAGCCAUUUGCAAGCCC
rnacentral:precursor_RNA from 1 species